UACGUAGGCAGCAAGCGUUGUUCGGAAUUACUGGGCGUAAAGCGAGUGUAGGCGGUUCGAUAAGUUUGGUGUGAAAUCUCCCGGCUCAACUGGGAGGGUGCGCCGAAGACUGUCGAGCUAGAGUGUGGGAGAGGUAGGCGGAAUUCCUGGUGUAGCGGUGAAAUGCGUAGAUAUCAGGAGGAACACCUGCGGUGUAGACGGCUUACUGGACCACGACUGACGCUGAAACUCGAAAGUGUGGGGAGCAAACAGG
rnacentral:rRNA from 1 species